GGCAGGCCAGGACAAUAUGGAGGACCACAACCACAUCUAUAAACAGAAGGAAUAUAUACAGGAUGGGUUGUGUGCCCUUUGCCCAGGUAGAUUUCUCCAGAUGAUUUAUCAGUACAUUCCUUUACUUUACAACCAAGGUCACUCUGCUUUAACCUAAAGAUUGAAGACAGGGAAAAUGACCAGUGUACCUUCUCCUUGCCUACAUUGUCACAUUCUUUGAAGCCCUUUUUUCCCCUAUGGCUUUAUUGAGGUAAAAUCAAAGUACAUUAAAAUGCACAUAUUUGCAAUUUGAUCAAUUUUGACAUGUAUGUAACCAAUAUACUCAAUAUAAAAAGCAUUUUCAUUGCUUUUUUAAAAUUUGAAACUAUGCAGACUGUGUUUCCUGCAUGAUUUAUUACAUUAGAAAUCAAUCAUCUUGAGAUACAUAGAACCCCACCCCGACAUGUCAUUAUUUCAAAAUUAAAUGGCACCCCUAUAAAUAUUUCAGAGGUCAAGGAAGAAAACACACACAAAAAAAAGUAAAUAAAAAGUGCUUUGAACUAAGUGAUAAUAAAAUCUUAAAAUACCAGGAUUUCUGGGAUGAAACAGUACUCAGAUGAACAUUUAUAACUUAAAAGUAUUUGUAUCUGAAAGAUACAAAUAACAAUCAAAUUAUUUUCACAUUAUGUAGUAGGAAGAAAAAAAAUAAGAGUAAGAGCAGAAAUAUAUGACAUAGAAAAGAAAUAAUAUAUCUGAAAUUUGAUAAAAUCAAAGAAGUAUAAUCAAGAAAAAAG
rnacentral:lncRNA from 1 species